UACACGCUGUGACUAGCAUAUCAAUAAGCGGAGGAAAAGAAACUAACAAGGAUUCCCCUAGUAACGGCGAGUGAAGCGGGAAGAGCUCAAAUUUGAAAUCUUAAAGGGUUUCCCUUUACGAAUUGUAGUUUAAAGAAGUGUUUUCUGUUGAGGUUUUGGUAAAAGUUCUUUGGAAUAGGACAUCAUAGAGGGUGAGAAUCCCGUAUUUGACCUUUACUUUCAACUUUGUGAUACACUUUCAAAGAGUCGGAUUGUUUGGGAAUGCAGUCCAAAAUGGGUGGUAAAUUUCAUCUAAAGCUAAAUAUUGGCGAGAGACCGAUAGCGAACAAGUACCGUGAGGGAAAGAUGAAAAGAACUUUGAAAAGAGAGUUAAACAGUACGUGAAAUUGUCAAAAGGGAAGCGUUUGACACCAGUGUUGUUUUUCUGAAAAUCAAUUAAAGAACUGUUUAUGCUAAGUUGUUUAGACUUUAUCAGCUAACUGUUUAGUUUUGAGCUUUUCUUUAAUGCACUUUUCAGUUAACAAGUCAACAUCAAUUUCUUUUGCUGUAAAAAAGCUUGAGGAAGGUGGCUUGAGAUUCGUCUUAAGUGUUUAUAGCCUCUUGCCUAUGCAGUCGGAGAGAUUGAGGUCUGCAGCGUAGAUCCUUCGGGGCUAAAUGCAUUUGUGCUAAGUUAUAGCAUUUUAUAGACAACUUGUUGACUAUGAUUUGUCUUGUAGCUUACUCGCUUAUGUUAUUUUACCUACGCUUAGGAUGUUGAGUCGUAGAGCACGCAG
rnacentral:rRNA from 1 species